ensembl:lncRNA
GACUUUUUAUGUGUUUCAAACUUGUAUAUUUUUCCCAUUUAUUGUUGCUGUCUCAAAAUUUCUGUUUCUUAGAGUCAAAACCUGAGUUUUCUCUGCCGUCAUCUGUAUCUAACUAGCAUCAAGUCUUGGGCAGAUUCUGUAAUGGAAAGAGAUUGUUGUCUGAGGUAAAGUUUUCAUACUUGAGGUUGUAGAGGAAGUGGGUUUUCCAAGUGAUGAUAACAAUAACUGACGCAUGGCCUCACUCUACCAGCCCGAUUGGCUCCUUUCAAGUGGUUUUUAUAAAUUAUUCCUUACCGCAGUCUGUGAAGAAGGUGUUAGUAAUACCUGUGACAGAUGAGAAACAGUUGACAGAGAAUAGAAGACCUCCCCUGGGUUCCCUGCCUGGUGGGAGCCUGGACCACAUGGCCUAGAUGUCUUGUGAGGUGAGGAAGUAUGUGUGAAAAAGUAAACCUCAUCCCGGUAAUUGUCCUGGUUUUUUCCUCCCUACAAUCAUCAUAGUCCUUUCUCUUCAUUCCAAUGCUGCUAACCCUAGGAUAAGGUUCUUAUCACAUCUCUAAUUCUAUAAAUAAUCUCCUAAUAAGUUAAUGGGUCUCUUCUUUCAGUCUCCUCAAAACGCCUAUGGCAGUCUUAGCAUUAAGUGGUUGAAGCAUUUCAGUGCUUUCUCCCUUCGUACAAAAUAAAAUUCUGUCUUAGCCUUAAAGUCUGGCCUCCCUCAGCUGGUCUGUCCAUGUUUGUGUAGCUUUGUGUCUGCCAGCUCCUCUUCAUGUGUCAAAUAGCAAAACAACAAAGCCCCAUUCAGACCCAACAUUCAUGUCCAUGAGUUUGCACACACGGUUUUUCAUGUUCCCCAGCCCCUCACAUGUAGCCAGUAAGAGUCAAAGCGAGCCUUAGAAACCAUCUUGUCCAGCUACUCGGUGCAGGUGGCUUUCCAUCCUGUUACUAGCACUUCAGAAACGAGAGGGUCCUUGUUGCACAGGGUUGACCAUUCCACUGUUCAUCCUAAUUACUGGAAAUGAUGCCACAGUAGCCUUCCAUUUCCUAGCCCUGCCUACUUCCUGUUUGCCUCUUGGCGUUCCUCUCACCCACUUCCUCCCCUUUCACACCUUAACCAUGGAGUGGAGGACAAAGCUGGGUAAUGUCUGUCUCCAUCUAUUGUUCCUCCUUCCUGAGUUACCCCCUGCUACCUAACAGAUGCCUGUUUGUCUUUGGAAACUUUCUCAUAAGCUUCAGCUUUCUGUGGAGACUUCAGUCCAUCUUGCAUUCUUCGUCCCACUCUCAUAAAGUUAAUCAUUUACUUGGAGUUGCCUCUGCAUCUGGUACAUGCAUUCAUUAUUGUCUUUCUUCCCAUCUGUUACUAUUUGCUUGUACAUCUGAUAAGUAGCAUCCACUCAACACUAUGUCAGACAUUGUUCUAAGCAUGUAUAUUAACUCAUUUGAUUUCCGUAACUCUAGGAGGUAGAUACUGUUAUUGUCCCUCUUCACCCCUUUAUCUUUACAACUGUUAAUAUUGUCUUCACAAUAUCUACCUGCUUCACAACAAUCCUCUUAUGGUAUUAGUCUUAUUAGUAUCCCUAUUUUACAGAUGAGAAAACUGAGACAGAGUGGUUAAAUAACUUGCCCACUACAAUAGCUAGAAAGUAGCUGAGCAGAGAUUCAAACCCAGACAGCCUGGCUCCGGAGCUUGGCUCUUCGUCACACAGUGUACUUUCUGCAAAUACAAUAGGGACUCUCAGGAGACAGCAAGGAUAUGUUCUGCUUGGAGAAGAGUGAGCCUCAUGCCAGUCACAAAAGACUGCAUUGACCAAAGGCAUUGAAGCUCAAGUUGAGAACACAGAAUGACAAAGCCAUGGGUGAAGACCUUUGUUCUGCCUGACAAAAGAGAAGUGUAAAACAAAUAACUUCAGCCAGUUCGCCAGUCAUCCAUGGAAGCCGGAAGAUGAGAUAACGUCAGCUAACUCGAGAUAUCUGCAGAAGCUGGAAAAAUUUAACGAAGCCAGUAGCUCAUAGGACAGCUGUGGAAUGUGGAAGGCAUGGUGACAUCAGCCUGCUCACAGGAAACUGUAGAGGGGUAAUGUGGGGACAAGUAUCAAAGUCAGCAGACCACACAGCACAUCUAGGCUGUGUGGCCAUUUAGGUGGAAGCAGGAACUUUCCACUCAGAGAGCUGUCACUGCUUUGGUUCCCUGGGUAGGGGACAAAGGCCAGUGUGUGUGUGUGUGUGUGUGUGUGUGUGUGUGUGUGUGUGAGAGAGAGAGAGAGAGAGAGAGAGAGAGUGUACAAGAACAGUAUUGUCUUUGAGAAGCUCAUAAUCUCCUAGAAAAAAAUGGAUACACAUAUAGGGAACUACAAAUACGUAAAUACAUGGAAUGCAAAAACCAACAACUGUAGGACAUUCAAGGUGAGGAAGUGGUCAGGUUGGAGUAUGACAUGUAUGGAAGAGCUUCUGGAGAAAAAGACAUUCCUCAGUCUCAAAGGAAAUUAAUACUGUACAUAACAGUCAGUAUUAUACAGGAGGCUGGAAUAGGUUGUAAGGAUAGCAUCAAAUCAAAAUCUUGGACGGGGGCUGGGGAUUUAGCUCAAUGGUUUCGCUGCCUGCUGCACAGGUGCAAGGACGUGAGUUUGAUUCCCGGUACCAAAAAAAAAAAAGAAAAAUCUUGGAAGGACCCAGCUGGGGAAAGCACUGAGUUAGGGAUCAACUCACAGGAAGAACCGAGAGAGCCUAUAAUGAUUAGCAGCAAGCUGAUUGUAUCCACCUAGGGGUGCUGAGCUCUUUAGGGUGUGCUUGAGGAUCAACAGAGAGGCAGAUCAGGAAUAAGUUUUUGGCUUGAAUAAAAGCAUUAAGGCAGUAUCAAGUAUGUCCUUUGAU